UACGUAGGGGGCUAGCGUUGUCCGGAUUUAUUAGGCGUAAAGAGCGUGUAGGCGGCCAGGUAGGUCUGCUGUGAAAACUCGAGGCUCAACCUCGAGACGUCGGCGGAAACCAUCUGGCUAGAGUCCGGAAGAGGAGAGUGGAAUUCCUGGUGUAGCGGUGAAAUGCGCAGAUAUCAGGAAGAACACCUAUGGCGAAGGCAGCUCUCUGGGACGGUACUGACGCUGAGACGCGAAAGCGUGGGGAGCGAACAGG
rnacentral:rRNA from 1 species